AGGAUGAAAGCUUGUGAGUCGUAAACUCCUUUUCUUAGUGAAGAAAUAAGACGGUAUCUAAGGAAUAAGCAUCGGCUAACUCCGUGCCAGCAGCCGCGGUAAUACGGAGGAUGCAAGCGUUAUUCGGAAUUAUUGGGCGUAAAGCGUCUGUAGGUGGUUUUUUAAGUCUACUGUUAAAUAUUAAGGCUUAACCUUAAAGAAGCGGUAUGAAACUAAAAAACUUGAGUUUAGUAGAGGUAGAGGGAAUUCUCGGUGUAGUGGUGAAAUGCGUAGAGAUCGAGAAGAACACCGGUAGCGAAAGCGCUCUACUGGGCUAAAACUGACACUGAGAGACGAAAGCUAGGGGAGCAAAUAGGAUUAGAUACCCUAGUAGUCCUAGCUGUAAACGAUGGAUACUAAGUGUUGGGCUAUAAAAAGCUCAGUGCUGUAGCUAACGCAUUAAGUAUCCCGCCUGGGAAG
rnacentral:rRNA from 1 species